rnacentral:rRNA from 1 species
CCUACGGGAGGCAGCAGUGAGGAAUAUUGGUCAAUGGGCGAGAGCCUGAACCAGCCAAGUCGCGUGAAGGAUGAAGGAUCUAUGGUUUGUAAACUUCUUUUAUAUGGGAAUAAAGUGAGGAACGUGUUCCUUUUUGUAUGUACCAUAUGAAUAAGCAUCGGCUAACUCCGUGCCAGCAGCCGCGGUAAUACGGAGGAUGCGAGCGUUAUCCGGAUUUAUGGGGUUUAAAGGGUGCGUAGGUGGUUAAUUAAGUCAUCGGUGAAAGGUUGUGGGUCAACCAUAAAAAUGCCGUUGAAACUGGUUGACUUGAGGAUAUUUGAGGUAGGCGGAAUGCGUGGUGUAGCGGUGAAAUGCAUAGAUAUCACGCAGAACUCCGAUUGCGAAGGCAGCUUACUAAACUAUAACUGACACUGAAGAACGAAAGCGUGGGGAUCAAACAGGAUUAGAUACCCUUGUAGUC